GCUGGACUUCAACUUCUGGGCUCAAGCAGUUCUCCUGCCUUAGCUUCCUGAGCAGCUAGUACUACAGGCACGAGCAACCAUGCCCAGGAAAUAUCCACAGAGACAUCCUAGACCCUCAAGAACCUUGCAUCUGUGUUCAAACAGUUGAAUUUAAACAAACAGUUGUGGAAGCCGGAAGUUCAAAAUCAAGAUGUCAGCAGUGUGUGUCAGUUCCUUCUGGAGUCUCGAGGAAGGAUCCGUUGUAUGAGUCUCUCCUUCCCUCUGUGCUGCAACUCCUGAAACCUGAAGUCUGUGACUCACCAGUUCUAAGCCCCAGAGUCCUGAUGGGGCACCUCAAGGAGACACUUCAGCCACCUAAGUCAGCUGGACCACCCCAUGACACAGUCAUGGAGGUUCCAGUCUGAAUUCAGAGUCAAUGAUAAGGGAGGCUUCCGUGGCAGAGUGAAAAGCACACACCUGAGAAAUGAAAAGAAAUGGCAAAGGUCACACGUCUCAGGAUGAAUUGCACUGUGUGUGACACCCUAGCUGAAAUCCUAUCCCACAGGACCAUCAGGUGAGCAAUUAAAGAAAGUGGCUGAAAUUGCUUCCAUGUUCUUUUUUCUCUUCUAAAAAUAUCUAUGCUGAGACUUUUUCCCCGUGUGUGUGUAUACACGUGUGUGUAUACACGUGUGUGUAUACAUGUGUGCAGCUUCCCAUGCUUGUGCAGGCCUCUGUGCUAAAGUCGGUGUCUUCAUUCAGACUGCACUUCAUUAUGGUUUUGCUUGAUGUCUGCCUCUCUCUUCCAUUGCCUUUCUUCUAAUUCAUGCUCUACAUUGCAGCAAGAAUGCCAUUCCUCUGUUUAAUAUACUUUCAUGGAUGCUCAUUUGUCUAGACACCUUCUCAUGGGACACAUUCUGCCUUCUACUUAUAACUUAUUUAUCUGCCUUCUUUUGCACAAUGACCACUUCUUCCUUAAAGAUCCAGUGUUGACAUCAUCUCUUCCAUUCACGGAGGCUUCCCAACUCUUCCAGGCAGAGUGAGUCAUCCAUUUCCCUGGGCUCCUCCGGCAUCUCAUAGAGACUUCUGUUGUGGAUUCCCCUGCUCUGUGCCACAAUGAUGUGUCGACAAGUUUGUCUCUCCCACAGCAUACACUGUGGGAUUCUUUAAAACAGAGAUGGUGUCAUGAAUUUCUGGUUUGGCAGGUUUGAAAAUAUUAUGCAGAACAUUAGUUUUUUUAAUAAAAGAAAAAUGAAUAAACAGAAGGAUAAAGCAUUAAGCUUAACCUCUAUAUAUACAGAACUCUGUAUCUGUAAAAAGAGGAUAAUAAAGAUACCCAGUUGUGGUAGAUUAAAUGAUUAACUGCAAUUCUUUACUCUUUCCUUUUGUGCCACAUGGGCAGAAGCUUGGGUGUGUUGCUCACUUUGGCAAAGAACAUGUGGGUAGACAUGAGAUGGUGCCAGUUCUAAGCCUGUACCUUAAGAAGAAUCACAGUGUCUCUUUACCUCUUUCCUUCUGCCAUUACCAUGAGAAGCAUUCUCUCUGGAUACCUGUUCGUAUUAUCCCUACAGCCUGGAAUGCAGUUUGAAGAUAUGUGCAGAAGAAAUGCCCAAGCCGACCCCGGACCUACAGUGAGAAGCAGAACAGCCCAGAGAAGCUCAGCCUAGGGCAACAGAGACAGCCUAGUCAACCUACAGAUCUGGGACAAUAAAUGCUUCUGCUUUUAAGCCACCGAGUUCUGGGAGGUGAUUUGUUCCACAGCAUUAUAGUGGCAAUAGCUGAUACUUCAACCUCAUUUAGUUUUUGUAAGGGCUAGAUCUGAUAAUUCAUGUCAAAAGCCCUAGAACGUGGUAAGCACAGAUAUUAGGAUUCACUAUUAUUAACAUUUGAUCUUUAUUAGCUUAUAAAACUAAGUAUUUUAU
rnacentral:lncRNA from 1 species